UAGCAUACAGGUUUAUAAAUUUGAGCUCAGUUAAGUUACCUAUAGUUUUUGGAAUUGGGCCAGAAAGAUUGUUUGUGUGUAAGCUUAAAUUCUGAAGUGACUUCAUCUUCCCUAUUUCUGCAGGAAUAGAGCCAGAAAGGUGAUUCUCAUAAAGAUACAAAAGGGUCAAGUUGUUCAAAUUUCCCAAUGAAGAAGGAAUUGAACCAUUAAGAGAGUUGGUAGACAAAGCUAGUUCAGUAAGAGACCUUAGCUGACCUAUUUCUUCCGGAAUGGAACCAGAAAGGUGAUUCUCAUAAAGAUACAAAAGGGUCAAGUUGUUCAAAUUUCCCAAUGAAGCAGGAAUAGAACCAUUAAGAGAGUUGUUACUCAAAUCUAGUUUAGUAAGAGACCUUAGGUAACCUGUUUCUUCUGGAAUGGAGCCAGAAAGGUGAUUCUUAUAAAGAUACAAAUGGGACAAGUUGUACAAAUUCCCCAAUGAAGCAGGAAUCGAACCAUUAAGAGAGUUGGUAUACAAAGAUAGUUUUGUAAGAGACCUUAGCUGACCUAUUUCUUCCGGAAUGGAGCCAGAGAGUUGAUUCUCAAAAAGAUACAAAUGGGACAAGCUGUUCAAAUUCCCCAACGAAGCGGGAAUAGAACCAUUAAUAGAGUUGGUACUCAAUUCUAGUUUAGUAAGAGACCUUAGGUAACCUAUUUCUUCCGGAAUGGAACCAGAAAGGUGAUUCUCAUAAAGAUACAAAAGGGUCAAGUUGUUCAAAUUCCCCAACGAAGGAUGAAUAGAACCAUUAAGAGAGUUGGUACACAAAGCUAGUUCAGUAAGAGACCUUAGCUGACCUAUUUCUUCCGGAAUGGAACCAGAAAGGUGAUUCUCAUAAAGAUACAAAAGGGUCAAGUUGUUCAAAUUUCCCAAUGAAGCAGGAAUUGAACCAUUAAGAGAGUUGGUACUCAAUUCUAGAUCAGUAAGAGACCUUAGGUAACCUAUUUCUUCC
rnacentral:lncRNA from 1 species